UCAUGAGGGCUAAAGUCGGACCGCCUUCCAAAAACCGGCCUGGGUGGCAGCCAGCAAGGGAAGGCGGCUCCAUGUCUUGGAUUCUUGAGAGCCGGACGGGUUCGUAAUUUUUUCAGAAGGGCCAGGGAAAGCCGGCCAGGCUACCCAUGACUAUUUACUCCGACAGAUGAAGACUGAAUUAGUUCACAGUUGAUCUUGGUUCUAUACGAUCUUCUAUAUUUGGGUCUCGUAGGUCUGUCUCCCAAGUGCAACGAGAAGAAAUCUGUUAACACAUUACUGCAUUAUAUGUAACAUAUGUCCAUUUUCACGGAAUGAAGGGUGAGUGCUAAUUACCUGUGCUGAACCAUUAUGGGGCCCCAAACUUUCUGACCAUUCGAGUUAUACUCCAGAGUCUUGAUGUUGACUGAAUUGAAAAUUUGGAGCUGUCGAGACUCGAGCUUCGUUUUUCGUGGAUUAGUGGUUAUUGAAUUUUUAUGCCUUUAGCCCAUGCUUGCAGGAACACAAUUAUUGAGUGGAACAAUGGGUGUAAAAGAGUAUGUGCAGAGUAAAUUUGAUAAUGUAGAAGCUCAGAUUAGAAGCACAAAUACGGUCCUUUUUUCCAAUUUUUGGAAGCAACAGUUUUACUGCUGCUCCUCCGAUGACCGAGGGUAGGCUGCAACUCUAGAUACAGAGAAAGCGAGUACAUAUAUAUAAUCUUUCGAUUCUUCUUUUUGUUUGUGAUGCUGCUGCAUUUUUCUUAAGCAGGGCUUGCCACUUUGUUGCAGUUGUGAGUUCUUUUAGUUUCCUUUUUAUGGGCAACCUGGAGCUCAAUUCUUAAAUUCCAAGGCCAUCGAGCAGGACAUGGAUCACAUACUAGGAGUUUUAGUUAUGUAUGCAUCUAAUGUGGGCAAACGCAUGGGCACAUUCUUUUAUUUGGCUGGUGCAAAACCUAUGAAGUUUUCCCUGUCAGCUAAUUUAAUGUGCUUACCUCUGCAUUAGACAGCUAGCUAUUAUGAUUAUACACUACGUUUCCUAUGUUAUGUGCUUGGUUUUCCUCUUUUGCUCACUCCUUCCAUUGUUGGUGAAGGACCGGUCAGUCCAUAGUUCAUCGUUUGGCUUGCUUCUCGCUAAGCUCUUUCUUCCUUGUCUCCUGUUCGGUAAAAUGUCUGAGAGCUGACACAGUUUUGUUUCUCGUUUCCUUGCCUGUCCAGGUUCUUUGUUGAUUCGUUGGCAGUUCCUAAUUUUUUUCCUGUAGCCGGUUGAGGGAUUCCACCAUUAGCAUAAAGAUCAAGGCGGCGAGCGGCCACAAUUGGCUACAUCGUCUCAAGGAGAAGAAUUCUUACAUGAUCCCUGUAACUGCUCGUUUUGUUAAUGUCUUCGCCCUAUGGGUCCAGGUUCUCAACUUCAGUCCUUCACAAUGCAAUGUGUCCAGGAUCUAAGAAUAGACAUAUAACACUUCUUAUAAUUCAGACCAUGCUUGCCAAUAAAGUUGAAUGUGCUGGAGCAAUAGUUCUAAAACUUCAUUAAGUCGAAGUAGGCAACAUUUUUUCUUAGUGGCCUUCUUUCUCCGUCGUAUCUCAAAUGCAAGCAAGCAUGCCUUUGCUAAGGGCUAGAAGAAGCCAAUGAGUAUGUCUAGGAUCUCUUUUAUAUUACUAAGGAAUACCUCUUUAUUUUUUCUAAAUGCACAUGAUAGACUGUCUGAUACUGAAAAAGUAUAUUGCAACUUCAGAAAUUUAUGCAAAUGAUGGCUCUAAGGGUUAGAAGAAGCCAAGGAGUAUGUGAUAGGCUUUUUUGAUAGUUUAUCAGAAGAAAGUGUAGAAGAAAAUGGAGAGGAUGAUGAAGUGACUCAAAUAGAAGUACGAAAUAUCUGCGUCAGCAAGCUAGGUAUGUUCGAGGAAAUAAUACUAUGCAACAUAUUUUGUAACCCUUGUUUGUAUGCUUGUGUAGACUGACCAGCUAAGUUUAUCCAUGAAGGCCUUCGUAGAUAGACAUCAUACAUGAUAACAAUGUGUGGGUAACAUCUCAACAAGGGUGUAUUUAUCUGAACUAUCAGCUGCAAUUCUUUUGGUUCCCAAUUCUUCCAGUUGUCCAGAUUAGCUGAUUGUCCAAAAGCUUAUUAGUGAAUCUGAUGGGUCAUCUCAUGCUUGCAAGCUUAAUCUUUUCACAUUGGAUUUUCUUGUGCUUAGUUUUGUUCUGACCAGACUUAUUUCUUAGUGCUCCUCCGUGUUCCUCUGCAUAACUGGAUGUGCGGAAGCACCUUACGUGAUUAUGUGAUGAUUCUUACAAUCCUGCCAAUUGUGUCACAUAUGGAUAAGAGGAUAUAUAUUCUAGAAUAUCACAAAAACACACAUUUUUACUCUGGUUGUCAUUGGUUGGUUGAUUCAACAACAUUUUGGUGCCUUGCAAUAUGAUUUUCACAAUCGUAUCAAUGCAAGCUCAUAGGUACCAUCUGUAUAAAUUUCAGAUUAACUAUCUCAGUCUCGAAGUUUAUAGAUUUGGUGGUUCGUUUGCAAGUACGUGAACAACAAGUUAAGCAAUAAGUACAAGGCGGCGAGGAGAGUUGCAAAUCGAUGACCGGCACUUCACAUUACAAAAUUUUCAUUCUUUUUUUUUUCCUGGCUCAUGUUCGUAUUUUGUUUCGGAGACAAAGAAUAAUCGAGUUUUGAUUGGGACCCUGUUGUGGGAGAAACGGCUAUAUUUGAAGGGUACAAAAACUAUUUUGAGCAGCUAACUACACUUUUUUUUGAUAACAGCAGCUAACUACACUUGGAAUGAGUAGUUGCUUCUGCUUGAGGACGCCAUGGACAAGUUACUCUGGCCCUGGCGCCGCAGCCAUGGAUAUACAUGUCUAAUUGUUGCUCUUAUGUAAUUUGGUUGCUUUUGAGUAGUUGGUCUCAAAGAAUUUCAUAGUUGCCUGGAUGUUGUAUUAGUUAAGCUAUUUCUAGAUCUGCCACAGGCUGAGUAUUAUAACUGUGAUUUGGUCGUAUUGGUAGCCUCCCGAGCUAAUCUUUUGUAGGUUUUCUUAGCUUGUUUCUAUGAAUAGGAUUUGGUUUAGUUCUCAAUUGUAGUUUGUUGUUAAUGGUUAUUCGGAUGGGUGUGGCCUCUUUGAAGUCGUGGUUAUGUUUUCAUUUGCACUAGGCUGGUCGUGUUGGUAGCCUCGCGUCGUAGUCUUGAUUUGAUACGUCCAAUUAUGAUUUAGACUUUAUUUUGCACAUCUUAUUGCUUAUACUUCAUAAGUUGACAAAGCUGCUCACAUAAGGUCAUUUUCUUUUUAUGGUUUCUCAGUUUGUAUAGUUUACUUGAAUGUUGAUAUGCUUCUCUGCAGAAUGCUUUUGCAGUUUCCUGUUCAUGGGGUACUCUUAAUUAGUGAGUUAUUUUUUCUUUGAAUGGUUAAGCAAUCCACGAUUCACUAUGAAUGAAGUGGGAGGUCUAAGGGAACAACUAAGGUUACAUUGCAAGGUGUGAUGAUGCCCGCCUUUUGUUCAACUUUUAUAGACCUAUUAGCUUGCUAUGCUUGACGACUAAACGCUUGCUGCUGCACUUCUGUUAUUUAUAUUCUUUUUUGAACAACUAGCGCUCGUCUGUGUUGUGUAUGAGUGAACACUGCAAUGAUCUAUUUCAGUUAAGUGCACUUGUUUUUAACA